UGGCGAGUGUGAUUCCGCAGUCUUGGGCUGUUUGGCCAAGCGCCCGCCGGACAUGGUACGCCGAAGGGUCAUCGGCGUGGAGUCCUCGGUUUCAGCGUCCGCGGCUGGGAAGUCGGCCAUCGCUACGGCCGGAACUGGGACUCGGGAUGCGUCCCGGCCCUUCCCCAUCGGUCCACCGCACUCGUGGGCGCCCGCAUUGGUGCUGACAUAAUAUCCUGACCUCUGACCCGUAUUGUCUCGCGAUUAAAGAGCUGCGCCUGGAUCCCGCCGCAGUGAGGAGACCUGAAGACCAGAGGAAACACAGCAAGUCCAGGCACUCCCACUCCUCCUGAGAGAAAUCCACAGCCACAUCCCUGAACAUCAUCAACUGUUGGAAAGAAUAAUUCCAAGUAUUAAUGGGGCUCACCAGAGAAGAGAGGGCAAGGUGAGGGGGAUCUCCUAGCAGAGGAAACAACAUGCGCCAAUCAAGCAAAGAUAUUUUUGUGCAUUCAAGGAACACAGAGUGAGAGGAAAGACCAGUGGCAGAUGGAGAUGUAUAAAGCAGGGAUCCUGUUAAGAAAAGCCCUAAAAAAUAGGGUAUAGAGUUUGGGCCAUAUUUCAGAGGUAAUAAGAAAGCAUUCUGCAUUUUUAAAGUAAGGUUUAAAAAUGUUUCUAAUGAGAGAUAAGACAAAGUUGGUGUGAGAGGGUAAAGACUGAUAUACAUAAUCUGAGGAGUUCAUGAAAAUUCCAUGUAAAGCCUGUAGUAUGAAUUGGUCCUAGGAGACAGACAGCUUCAGCGGCAUAGAGAACUUUAAGCACUUUUCCAAGAAGAGUGAAGGGCUGGAGAAUAAAUUGUGAACUAAAAUAUAUUUUGUG
rnacentral:antisense_RNA from 1 species